rnacentral:rRNA from 1 species
GGUCAAAGAGUUGCGAUACCGCGAGGUGGAGCUAAUCUCAUAAAGCCGGUCUCAGUUCGGAUUGCAGUCUGCAACUCGACUGCAUGAAGUUGGAAUCGCUAGUAAUCGUGGAUCAGCCAAGCCGCGGUGAAUUACCGGUUCCCGGGCCUU